rnacentral:rRNA from 1 species
AGCGUAGACGGCAAGGCAAGUCUGAUGUGAAAACCCAGGGCUUAACCCUGGGACUGCAUUGGAAACUGUCUGGCUCGAGUGCCGGAGAGGUAAGCGGAAUUCCUAGUGUAGCGGUGAAAUGCGUAGAUAUUAGGAAGAACACCAGUGGCGAAGGCGGCUUACUGGACGGUAACCGACGUUGAGGCUCGAAAGCGUGGGGAGCAAAACA